rnacentral:lncRNA from 1 species
ACAUGAUUAAUAUGUUCUUAAGGUCCCAAGGCUCUCUGCUCUUCAGAGACACUCCCUUAGAGCUUAACUUUUCUCCCACUACUUCAUCUUGGUUAAAUAAUUUUUCAAGAAGAUGGCACUGAGUCACAAUCACAGUAUAAUCACAUCAAAAAGUAAUAUCCCAAACUUUUUUAGGCAGAGCUUUGUAGACCUAUUCUUUAACAUAUCCACCUACUAUCCUAGACAC